rnacentral:rRNA from 1 species
AGCAGCCGCGGUAAUUCCAGCUCCAAUAGCGUAUAUUAAAGUUGUUGCAGUUAAAAAGCUCGUAGUUGAACUUCGGGAUUUGCCCAUUGGUCGGGCUUAACUGUCUGCACUGGUGUGACGAGUUCCUACCUUCUGAGGAAUCUCCAUGUCGUUCAGUUGGUGUGGGGGGAAAUCAGGACUGUUACUUUGAAAAAAUUAGAGUGUUUAAAGCAGGCGUCCGUCUGAAUACAUUAGCAUGGAAUAAUAAAAUAGGACGGUUUGGUUCUAUUUUGUUGGUUUCUAGGAUCACCGUAAUGAUUAAUAGGGAUAGUUGGGGGCAUUAGUAUUCAAUUGUCAGAGGUGAAAUUCUUGGAUUUAUUGAAGACUAACUACUGCGAAAGCAUUUACCAAG